UACGAAGGGUGCAAACGUUGCUCGGAAUUAUUGGGCGUAAAGCGCACGUAGGCGGCAUUGCAAGUCGGAUGUGAAAUCCCUCGGCUUAACCAAGGAAGUGCAUCCGAAACUGCAGUGCUUGAGUACUUAAGAGGAUCGCGGAAUUCCCGGUGUAGAGGUGAAAUUCGUAGAUAUCGGGAGGAACACCGGUGGCGAGGACGGCGAUCCUGGACCGGCAUUGACGCUGAGGCGCGAAAGCCAGGGGAGCAAACGGG
rnacentral:rRNA from 1 species